CAGCAGCCGCGGUAAUACGUAGGUGGCAAGCGCUGUCCGGAAUUAUUGGGCGUAAAGGGCUCGCAGGCGGUUUCUUAAGUCUGAUGUGAAAGCCCCCGGCUCAACCGGGGAGGGUCAUUGGAAACUGGGAAACUUGAGUGCAGAAGAGGAGAGUGGAAUUCCACGUGUAGCGGUGAAAUGCGUAGAGAUGUGGAGGAACACCAGUGGCGAAGGCGACUCUCUGGUCUGUAACUGACGCUGAGGAGCGAAAGCGUGGGGAGCGAACAGGAUUAGAUACCCGCGUAGUCCUUGUCUCUUAUAC
rnacentral:rRNA from 1 species